AGCGAACGCUGGCGGCAGGCCUAACACAUGCAAGUCGAACGAACCCUUCGGGGUUAGUGGCGGACGGGUGAGUAACACGUGGGAACGUGCCUUUAGGUUCGGAAUAACUCAGGGAAACUUGUGCUAAUACCGAAUGUGCCCUUCGGGGGAAAGAUUUAUCGCCUUUAGAGCGGCCCGCGUCUGAUUAGCUAGUUGGUGAGGUAAUGGCUCACCAAGGCUACGAUCAGUAGCUGGUCUGAGAGGAUGACCAGCCACAUUGGGACUGAGACACGGCCCAAACUCCUACGGGAGGCAGCAGUGGGGAAUCUUGCGCAAUGGGCGAAAGCCUGACGCAGCCAUGCCGCGUGUAUGAUGAAGGUCUUAGGAUUGUAAAAUCCUUUCACCGGUGAAUAUAAUGACUGUAGCCGGAGAAGAAGCCCCGGCUAACUUCGUGCCAGCCGCCGCCGUAAGAC
rnacentral:rRNA from 1 species